CAUACGUGUGCUCUUCGGAUAACGAAAGAGGCAUAGGGAAAGAAAUUUUUCAAAAAUCGAACGACGAGACGAUACACGUUUUAGGUGAAAUUAAAUUUAACCAAAAUGAUGGUAAAGGAAAACGAAACGACGGAGUGAAGGAAACGAGAAUACAUUUUUUUUAACGACAAUUUUCGGAGGCUAUAAUAUCUAACGAUAAGUAAGGAUCUCGUGCAUACGAUAUGCAUACACCUCUAUUAAGACGUUAAGAUGAGUAUAAGAAAUUAAUUAAUCAACUAACGAAAAAUUGUUGUAAUCACGUAAGUUUCAGGGUGACAGGGGGGGAGAGAUCCUGAUCUAUUAAUGAAUUUUAAAGGGGGAAAAAAGGAAACGACAGCAACAAAAAUGAACAAAACAAGAAAUCACGCUGGUGGUGAAAAAAAAAGGGAAAAUUCUUGUCCGAAAAUUGAUUAAACGCGGCAUCUGAGUGAUAAUUAUUAAUAAUACACACUCGGGUAGUUAUUGGUGACUGCGCGCGGCGUUCGAACGUUUAAAAAAAUUAACGACUCUUUGCAAGUUGGAACAAAAAAUAGAAAAGAGAUAAGAGAGCGUGAGAGAAGAAAAAAAUAACAAGAAAAAAAAAACCGCCUCCAAAAUUACCCUGAAAAAUGAUGAAGGAAAAAAAAUGAUACAUACAUAUAUAUGUGUAUAUAUAUAUAUAGGUAUUUCCAUAGACUUUGUCGUGAUUAUUGUAAUAAUUAUUAUUAAUGUCAUGAUUAUAUUUUGAAUUAUAUAUUUUCAUCAUAUUGUAUAACAUUCAUGAUCGUCACGUCGUUAGUUUGUUGAAAAAAUUUAUUUUCGUUCGUCAUUUCCCGCGGUAUAAAUUAUGUAUAAUAAUAUAAAUCCUUCGAAUGUGCAAUCUACAUUUUGGCAUAUAUGUGAGAUAUAAUUGCACCGGAUCUAUCGCACAAAAAAAAAAAAAAAUAUUUUUGGCAUUUAGGUAUAAUACAUAUUCUAUAAAUUUCGACUGUUGGGUAGUGGGGACAAAAAGUUUAAGAAAAUUUUUAAAAUGUAAGAAAUUAAAGUAAAUUGAAAAUUUUCGACGAGUCAAAUUUUGUAAAAUGUAUCGCGAGGAAUUAUUGUUACAAUAUAUUAUCAUUAAAUUUAGGAUAUAUUCACUAUUCAUAUCGAACGACGAUAUAUAUAUAUAUAUAUAUGUAUAUAUAUAUAUAUAAUAUAUACAAUUAACGAGUAAUAUAAGAAAUUUGAAAUUCGAUGAACAAAAGUAAGGUAGUAAAAAAAAAAGAAAAAAUAUGAAAAAAAAAAGAAAACACCGAACGGCCUCGUGAAAAAAAAAUGAGAGGUUAUUAUAAGAUUUGCUCGGGCCGCCGCAAUUGCUGCUGAACGCGUGUAGAAAAAGAAAAAAGCAAAAGACAAAAAAAAAUCAGAUGAUGGAAAAAAAAAUUUCAUAAUAAUAAUAAUAAUAACAAUAACAAUAGUAAUACUAUUAACGAUAAUAUUUAAAAUAUAUGGCUACAAGUACAAAUUACUUCGAUUACGGAGACGUAGGUGUGUAUAUUGAUGUGUGAAAACAAAAGACAAAAAAAAAACCAAAAAAAAACAAACAAAAAUAAAAACCAUAAGUUAGAAGAAGAAGAAAGAUUGAACUAACGAAUAAUGUGUGGCGGAAUAACCGUUUCCUUUUCUUUUCUUUUUUUUCUUGUUCGUUAUUCCUUCUUCUCUUUUCCUUUUCCGGUUUUUUUUUUUUUUUUUUCAUUUUCGACUACAGCGUUUUGUUAAACAUACUUUCGAAAAUAACAUCACGACGUAUUGCGAAUACUGCAAACAUCAAACGCCGGUACGAAAUAUACUAUAAUAUUAUACGUACGUAUAAAGACUAAACAUAACGAUAUGAUGAUACAAUUAUUGUGUUUUCGUAAAUAAUACACGACAAAUUGUUAUACAUAAUACAGGCACGCAAAUGUAUAUGUAUGUGUAUAAAUUUCAGGCGAAAUGAAAUUGAUAAUAAAAAUAAUUACCAUACGAUACAUUCAUAUUUUAACUUAUACGAAUUACUUUUCGGUUGUUUCGUUGUUAUUAUUAUUAUUAUUAUUAUUAUUAUUACUGUUAGCACGAACGAAACUAUGCAUACAUGUAUUAUGUAUGUAAUACAUGUACAUAUACAUGUGCAUGUACACGGUAUAUGAUGUAUAAUAUUAUAGGGUUGUACGUGAGCGUGAAAUGUUUAAACGAUAAGAGUAUAGAAGUAAGCGUGUGGGAGAAACGUAAAAAUGAAUUGAGAGAAAAGGAAAUGAAGAGAAAAGAAGAGAAUAACGAGUAGCGAACGAAAAAUUGAAAUAAAACAAGGCGAUCGAGAUGAGAAGGAAGAGAGGAAUGAGGGGGGAUAGGGGGAGGAUUACAUAAUUAUUAUUAUUAUUAUAUAUAUUGUACAUGACGAUAAUAUAAUGUAAUGACGAUGGUGAUGACGAAAACUACGAUAACGAUGAUGAUGCGAAUAAUAUAAUAAAUUUAUCAGUUGUACACAAUUUUGAGACAUAUAUGUAUUUGGCAUAUAAGAGAUUAAGAGAAAAAGAGAAAGAGAGAGAGAAGUAGAGAAAGAAAAAAAAUUAUAUAUAUAUAUAUAUAUGUAUAUUUGGAAUUCGCACACGCUAAAUUGAUUAAACGAAAAAAUUUUUUAAUCCUAAAUCUAAAUUAUCGUGCAGGGGUUGUCGCGGUGUGAGUGAUGAAAGUGAGAGAGAGAGAGAGAGCGAGAGAGAGAGAGAGAGAGAGAGAGAGAGAGAAAGAGAAAGAAGAAAGAAAACUAAAUUGAAUAAUAAUAAUAAUAAUAAUAAUAAUAAUAAAUAUAUAUGUAUAUAUAUACACAUAUAUAAAUAUAUAUAUAUAUAUAUAUAUUUCGUUAUAUUUGGUAUCACUGUAAAAAAAAUUGCUACCGUAGGCUAGAUAAAAUUUACGAAACACCAAAGAGAGAAAUGAGAGAUAAACGGAGAGUCAAAAAGGGAGAGAAAGAGGGAGGGAAUAAUAGGGAUACUCAGAAAACAAAGAGAAAAUUAAAAAAAAAAAAAAAAAACAUUUUUGGCGCGCUAAGAAUAAAUAAAUUUUAUGGUGAUCAAAAUUACAUUUCACCGCGAAAGGUCUUGCCGUGAUUAAUAAAUAGAUACUAUAAUUAUUACGAUUAUUAUUGUUAUAGUCAAGGAGAGGGAGAUUAAGGUGAAGAAUAAUAUUGAAUGAUUGAAACAAAAUUUUGGAAAAAGUGGUGGUAGAAAAAUAGAAAAAAAAAAACGCAAAAAAAAAUAACGUAAAAAUAUAUAUUAACGCGUCCGCGACGCGCGAACGGUUU
rnacentral:lncRNA from 1 species